GAUGAACGCUGGCGGCGUGCCUAGUACAUGCAAGUCGAGCGAACAGUCGAGGAGCUUGCUCCUCUGACGUUAGCGGCGGACGGGUGAGUAACACGUGGAUAACCUACCUAUAAGACUGGGAUAACUUCGGGAAACCGGAGCUAAUACCGGAUAAUAUAUUGAACCGCAUGGUUCAAUAGUGAAAGACGGUUUUGCUGUCACUUAUAGAUGGAUCCGCGCCGCAUUAGCUAGUUGGUAAGGUAACGGCUUACCAAGGCAACGAUGCGUAGCCGACCUGAGAGGGUGAUCGGCCACACUGGAACUGAGACACGGUCCAGACUCCUACGGGAGGCAGCAGUAGGGAAUCUUCCGCAAUGGGCGAAAGCCUGACGGAGCAACGCCGCGUGAGUGAUGAAGGUCUUCGGAUCGUAAAACUCUGUUAUUAGGGAAGAACAAAUGUGUAAGUAACUAUGCACGUCUUGACGGUACCUAAUCAGAAAGCCACGGCUAACUACGUG
rnacentral:rRNA from 1 species